rnacentral:rRNA from 1 species
GACGAACGCUGGCGGCGUGCCUAAUACAUGCAAGUUGAGCGAUGAAGAUUGGUGCUUGCACCAAUUUGAAGAGCAGCGAACGGGUGAGUAACGCGUGGGGAAUCUGCCUUUGAGCGGGGGACAACAUUUGGAAACGAAUGCUAAUACCGCAUAAUAACUUUAAACAUAAGUUUUAAGUUUGAAAGAUGCAAUUGCAUCACUCAAAGAUGAUCCCGCGUUGUAUUAGCUAGUUGGUGAGGUAAAGGCUCACCAAGGCGAUGAUACAUAGCCGACCUGAGAGGGUGAUCGGCCACAUUGGGACUGAGACACGGCCCAAACUCCUACGGGAGGCAGCAGUAGGGAAUCUUCGGCAAUGGACGAAGUCUGACCGAGCAACGCCGCGUGAGUGAAGAAGGUUUUCGGAUCGUAAAACUCUGUUGGUAGAGAAGAACGUUGGUGAGAGUGGAAAGCUCAUCAAGUGACGGUAACUACCCAGAAAGGGACGGCUAACUACGUG